GAAAAAUACGCGUCCACGAAAUCGGGAACAUGCGCGCAAAAUGCCUGCAUACGAACGGCAUUAUGCUCGCAUUUUAUCGGCACCCGUGCUGGACAGAUCCACCAUGGAAGCAAGCAAAAUGCUCGGUCAUAUGCUCGUCAUAUGACUUUCAUGUGCGGAUGCAAGUGGACCGUCAUGCGUGCCCAUUUCGUGCCGGCACGUUUUCAGCAUUUUCAGAGCACGCUGUUAUCUGGGGGUACCUGGACGUCACGCGUGGCCCAUUCCGAGCAGUCUCGGUGCCGUCAUUCGGCCGACAUCAUGUUAUCGGGGCUGUGCCAGACUGUGCCACACUGUGCAGUAUUACGCUAAACUAUUCCGUUUUGUGCUAAACUGUACCUAAACUUAAACAAAACGCUGAAACGAUAUUUUUAUUUUGAAAAAUUAGAAUUGUGCCAUGCUGUGCGAUACUGUGCCAUACUGAGUCAAGCUAUAUUACCAAAUGUUCAAAUUGGUAUAUAUGUAGCACAGUGUGGUACAGCUCCCUAUUGAUAAAUCUCAGCUGAAAAAAGUUCCAUGGGAAAAAAUCUACUUGUAGAACCGUGUUUUUUAUGCGUUUCAGACGAUUUUUUAUUGGCUAAAUGUACAUUUUGAAAGAUUUACAUUACCAUAAUAAUUUACGCGUACUUGUAUGUAUUGUUCAUUGUUAAAUGAUAAUAAUAAGUUUGUUAUGUUAAGUAUAAAUAUACAAUUAUUAUUACAUUCUCUA